rnacentral:rRNA from 1 species
GUGUCAGCAGCCGCGGUAAUACGUAGGGGGCGAGCGUUGUCCGGAAUUAUUGGGCGUAAAGAGCUCGUAGGCGGCUUGGCAAGUCGGAUGUGAAAACUCCAGGCUCAACCUGGAGCCGCCAUUCGAUACUGCCGUGACUAGAGUUCGGUAGAGGAGUGUGGAAUUCCUGGUGGAGCGGUGAAAUGCGCAGAGAUCAGGAGGAACACCCGUAGCGAAGGCGGCACUCUGGGCCGAUACUGACACUGAGGCACGAAGGUCAGGGGAGCAAACGGGAUUAGAUACCCCUGUAGUCC